CCUACGGGUGACAGCAGUGAGGAAUAUUGGUCAAUGGACGCAAGUCUGAACCAGCCAUGCCGCGUGCAGGAAGACGGCCCUAUGAGUUGUAAACUGCUUUUAUACGGGGGUAAAUCCCGAUACGUGUAUCGGUUUGAAAGUAUCGUACGAAUAAGGAUCGGCUAACUCCGUGCCAGCAGCCGCGGUAAUACGGAGGAUUCAAGCGUUAUCCGGAUUUAUUGGGUUUAAAGGGAGCGUAGGCGGUUCGAUAAGUUAGAUGUGAAAGCCCGGGGCUCAACCCGGGCACUGCAGUUGAUACUGGCGGGCUAGAGUUCAGUUGCGGUAGGCGGAAUGCGUGGUGUAGCGGUGAAAUGCAUAGAGAUCAUGCAGAACACCGAUUGCGAAGGCAGCUUACUAAACUGCGACUGACGUUGAGGCACGAAAGCGUGGGGAGCAAACAGGAUUAGAUACCCGGGUAGUC
rnacentral:rRNA from 1 species